AAUGGGCGAAAGCCUGAUGCAGCAACGCCGCGUGAGCGAUGAAGGCCUUCGGGUCGUAAAGCUCUGUCCUCAAGGAAGAUAAUGACGGUACUUGAGGAGGAAGCCCCGGCUAACUACGUGCCAGCAGCCGCGGUAAUACGUAGGGGGCUAGCGUUAUCCGGAAUUACUGGGCGUAAAGGGUGCGUAGGUGGUUUUUUAAGUCAGAAGUGAAAGGCUACGGCUCAACCGUAGUAAGCUUUUGAAACUAGAGAACUUGAGUGCAGGAGAGGAGAGUAGAAUUCCUAGUGUAGCGGUGAAAUGCGUAGAUAUUAGGAGGAAUACCAGUAGCGAAGGCGGCUCUCUGGACUGUAACUGACACUGAGGCACGAAAGCGUGGGGAGCAAA
rnacentral:rRNA from 1 species